GACGAACGCUGGCGGCGUGCUUAACACAUGCAAGUCGAACGGUAAGGCCCUUCGGGUACGACGAGUGGCGAACAGGUGAGUAACACGUGGGUGAUCUGCCCUGCACUUCGGGAUAAGCCUGGGAAACUGGGUCUAAUACCGGAUAGGACUCCUGGCUUCAUGGUUGGGGGUGUAAAGCUUUUGCGGUGUGGGAUGGCCCGCGGCCUAUCAGCUUGUUGGUGGGGUAAUGGCCUACCAAGGCGACGACGGGGCAGCCGGCCUGAGAGGGUGACCGGCCACACUGGGACUGAGAUACGGCCCAGACUCCUACGGGAGGCAGCAGUGGGGAAUAUUGCACAAUGGGCGCAAGCCUGAUGCAGCGACGCCGCGUGA
rnacentral:rRNA from 1 species